GGGAAUAUUGGACAAUGGGGGCAACCCUGAUCCAGCAAUGCCGCGUGUGUGAUGAAGGCCUUAGGGUUGUAAAAUUCUUUCGCUAGGGAUGAUAAUGACAGUACCUAGUAAAGAAGCCCCGGCUAACUUCGUGCCAGCAGCCGCGGUAAUACGAAGGGGGCUAGCGUUGUUCGGAAUUACUGGGCGUAAAGCGCACGUAGGCGGACUUUUAAGUCAGAUGUGAAAUCCCGGGGCUCAACCUCGGAACUGCAUUUGAAACUGGAAGUCUAGAGACCAGGAGAGGUUAGCGGAAUACCGAGUGUAGAGGUGAAAUUCGUAGAUAUUGGGAAGAAUACCAGUGGCGAAGGCGGCUUACUGGUCCGAUACUGACGCUGAGGUGCGAAAGCGUGGGGAGC
rnacentral:rRNA from 1 species